rnacentral:sRNA from 1 species
CGGAGAUGUUCUUCUACUAAAUUCGCCACGUCCUGUGGCAACGUAGAAGCCAGCACAUCCUGUGCA